rnacentral:misc_RNA from 1 species
GGGAAGUACCAACGAGAUUCCACAAUACAUUACAGUGGAACAACAACACAAUAAUUCGAAUGAAGGAAAAGGUGCAAAAUCAAGCAAGUUGACACUUGAACAAACAAAGGAGAAUCUGGGGAGAGGAACAGAACAAGAACAAUCAUAGAAUAGGGAUAAGGAUGUUGGAAAAAGGAAAAGCAGGCAGAAGAAGGAGAGAACAUUAACCAAAUGCCAAAUUCUUCUAACUUCUCCUCUGGAAUGCAUAACUUGGAGGCUGGAGCAUGAGCAGGCACAAUUGAAUGCAGAAAUGCUGCAUGAUCGUUCUGCAAUCAGCACCGUACCACCAGUUCAAGGUAAUUUUCCACCUUUGCUUGAGAAAUCUGUUGAUGCAAAUAUGCAGGGGAACCAAAGCACAUCGGCAAUGGAAGUGCAGGAAAUACAGAAGACAGUAAUUUCCCCAAGAUAUUCAGUAAUUUUGACCAUCAAAAUCUCAACCAAAGGAACAGAAUCCCCCCCAAACCAGGUUCUACUUAUGACAACCCUGAACAACCUCAAAACAAUCCCUCCAGAAAAGACCACAUCCCUGAACCUGCACCUGCACUGUUGUCCAAACCUGUGCUGAUAGAUUUAGACACAACCAAGCCAAAAAUGAUUUUCCCAUUAAACUGACCACCCCUGAAAUUACCUUCAAACAAGGUAUACCUGCUGUCCU